AGAGUUUGAUCAUGGCUCAGGAUGAACGCUAGCGGCAGGCUUAACACAUGCAAGUCGAGGGGUAACAGAGAUAGCUUGCUAUUUGCUGACGACCGGCGCACGGGUGCGUAACGCGUAUACAAUCUACCUCUUACUGAGGGAUAGCCCAGAGAAAUUUGGAUUAACACCUCAUAGUAUAUAUGAAUGGCAUCAUUUAUAUAUUAAAGGUUACGGUAAGAGAUGAGUAUGCGUUCUAUUAGCUAGAUGGUGUGGUAACGGCAUACCAUGGCAACGAUAGAUAGGGGCCCUGAGAGGGGGAUCCCCCACACUGGUACUGAGACACGGACCAGACUCCUACGGGAGGCAGCAGUGAGGAAUAUUGGGCAAUGGAGGCAACUCUGACCCAGCCAUGCCGCGUGCAGGAAGACUGCCCUAUGGGUUGUAAACUGCUUUUAUACAGGAAGAAACCUCUCUACGUGUAGAGACUUGACGGUACUGUAAGAAUAAGGAUCGGCUAACUCCGUGCCAGCAGCCGCGGUAAU
rnacentral:rRNA from 1 species